GGUCAGUGCAGUGACCUGGCUCCCUGGCUUGGCGACACACAGCGACGAGGGGGACUUCAUCAUGGCUGCGAGGGGAGACAGCCAGGCGACUGAUGCAGGUUUGCCAGAGCACUGGAGGGACGUGAGAGAGUGGAGCAUAGAGAAGAGACAAAGCCACAGAAUGUGGGUUGCAGAUGUGGAGGGCGUCCUCAGGUCCAUGGCGAGACAGCUGAAUGCCUCUCUGGAGAAAUAUCCUCGUUAUAAAGGACGAAACAGCCCAGAGUGUUGGCCUUCAUCUUCUUCAAACCGCUGCAAGUCUCUCUCCAGCCAUCCUGCUGAUCCAGAAGGGUGGCUUUAGAAGUGUAUGAGCUAUUUGAAGGCAGAUUUAAAGAAAAAUCACACAAUCUUUGUCAUGAUUUUCUCAGAAAAUCUCCCUUCUUAAAUCACUCAUGCAAUGACUGCUUGUCCUACACUGCUGUUUGACAUUCAGGAGAGCCAAAUCAUUUCGAACCAGAGUGUGUUAUUACUCAUCUGUCCCAUAAGAAAAAAAAAAAACACUUUAAGCAUUUUUGGAAUUUCUGCUUACUUUUCAUUACUAACUUGCUCAAGA